GCCAAUUUAGAGAAAAGAAAGCAUUUGAAUCGUCCUCGGGCCUUUGGAUUGAAACGGGUCUAUGAAGGACAAAAUAUUCCGCAAUUCCCAGAAUCGAUGUUGCCCCCAUGGGGCUCACAUGAAAUAGUUUAUCCUGGAAUUUAAUUAAAAUUAAUCCAAUGCCCCAAAGAACAAGAUAUUUCUCAGAGGACUUCUCAGAGCCUUUAUAUGUUCCAUGAAUCUCCAAAGAGGGAUAAUAUUACACCACUUGAUCCUAGAAUGCUUCUUUCCCAAAGUAUAUACCUGGAGCCACUGUGCUGCCAUAUGGCCUUAGGGAAAUGCUGGGACUACUGCUUAGCUAAAGAGAGUUUUACUUUUCAACUACAUUUAGAAUGAUUCUGCAUAAGCCUCCACCUACAGGAUUUGGCAUUGCACACCUGACUUCUUUCAGAAGUCGAAUAGACACUUUCAGUGACCCUAGGGAGAGAGCAGGAGGCAGCUCUAGGACCAUCUCUCACCCAGGCACCUCACUGCAUGCAGUCUAUCAGAAGCACCCCACAACAGUUCCUUCCUGCAUCCACUCUGAACUAUGUAUCUGCUGGUGGAAUGCUGAUGAGGAGCUGGCCUGUGUGCUGGGCAUAUGCAAUGGAUUCUCUUCAAGCAGAGAUCAAAGUUGCCUUGUUAAAAUGGAACACUAAAAGGUUCCAGUAAUUAUUGGUUGGCCCAUUGCUUUGGGCCUAGGGGAG
rnacentral:lncRNA from 1 species